CGGAAACGUCCCUUCGCAAACUCUCCCCGGAGAAUCGAGCGGCUUCUCUUUUGCGCUAGCCACGGGGUCGGGGCCGGAACUGUGAGCUGGGACCUGAGUUCCAGCCGGGCCCUAUUCGGUGUUUCACUUACUCAUUCUCCCCCCCCCCCCCGCGGCGUUACCGGGGUAACGGAGUCGUUGGAGCAGCGAGGAGCCCGGGGCAAGAUGAUGCUCUCCCGGGCCAAGCCGGCCGUGGGGGGCGCCCCGCCGCAGGGCGACAAACGGAAGAAGAAAGGCAAGAAAGUCCCGCAACUGGAGGAGCUGCUGGCCCAGAGGGACUUCACCGGCGCCAUCGCCCUGCUGGAGCUUUACAAUAUUUGUACAGAGACUGUGUGACUGGAUAGAAACUGCCUGUCCUUGAAAAUGUGAUAUUCACACCACCUGACUUCCGUGUCCAGUUUAAACGGCAUGUGCGGGAACAAGAUGAGGACACUGACCUCUGGAUUGGAUACUGCGCCUUUCACCUGGGGGACUACAAGAGAGCAUUGGAGGUGCAUAUGUAAACCAGCUGGAAUGAGCAAAAUAGAUGUUCUCAUAUCCAGGGAGAACCUAGAAAACAAAAGGAGAACAGUUAAGCUAAGGUUCCUGAGUUGUGACAUUCCCCACACCAAAAGGGAGUGUCCCAGAAGUCUUCAGAUCCCAACUGGAACCCUGAGAAUUCCCCAUUUUGUCACCUUCAUCUUUGAAGCACCAUGUUGUGGCCACCAUCUACACCAGCUAUUGAGAUUCCUUCUGAAGCCCAAUAACAAAACCUCUCUUUAAAAAAGAAAGUCAAACCAAGAGUGCCUGUUGAUCUAGAUGGCACUGCCUCCUCCUCCUCAGAGCACUGUGCCCACACCUGCAGUGUUCCAUCCCCCUACCAGCACGGAAGGAGAACACCACUAGAAAUGAAAAACCAGUUUCUAACCAUUUUUAUAUCACACCCAUUGCCAUAAUACCAUAGUUCUUCUCCUGGAUGAUAGUGAAAAAUCACCAGUUGCAUGGCCUGCUAUAGCAUCUUUAACUCCCCAAAUUUACACAAAGAGGCUACCUCUAAAUCAGAUGCAGGUAUCUCCCGUUCCUCCCCCCAGAAAGUUAAAACGCUGCCUCGACAGUCUUCCUGAUCACUACCAGACCAAGGGACAAGAGACUGGCUCUAGAAAAUCAGAUACUGCCCUUUUCAAAGGUAGCACACUGCAGAGUCACCUGAUCCGCCAUUCUGAGAUGUUUUGUACCCCUUAAAAAUGCACGGGAACUUCUUAUCUGUCUCUCCAACAUGGCUUUUGGCCAUCUUUGGAUAUUUAACAACUUCAAUUUAGAGACAAAUGAAAGCCCAAAUACAAGAGUAACAUGAUACAAAAUCAAGAGCUAGAAUGAUUUGUUAGAAAACUUAUCUAUGAACAGUAUCAGCUAAAACAAAAUGAAAUCUAAAUUGAUGUGUCUGUAGUGCCCAGCAUGAUGGGGCCCCGAUGCCUGAUUAAGGCCCCUAUAUGUUCCCAAAAUAUAAAUAAUAAUGAGGGUUACAUCAACAUGAUCAUGAUACAAGUCUACGCAGGGGCUAGAAGUUAUGAGAAGUUUUGUUGCCCUCACCUUGAUAAGAGCAGAGCAGUGACCCAUGACCCAUUGAUAUCUCCCAAAGCCUGCUGGGUCACCCUUAUACCAACCCACUGCUGAAUACGUGAAUAAUGCAGGAAUAGGGUCCAGUAGAUCUCCAACUGCAUCCAGAAAGCGGACAUCAAAGACACUCAGGGACUGGGAGGCAAAGAGACCAAAACAAAAGAAUAUACCGGUAUUUUCAGACGGAAAAGUGACUGUAUUUCACAGCAGCCAGAAGGAGAGUGGAGCCUGCUGCAUGCCAGGGACUGGAGAGGAGAGCGCCCAUUUCACCUUGCGGCUCUUUGAAUCCUACCUUGCCCGCUGCCCCCCAGCCAAACCCAGAUUGCGCCUGCUCCCGCUUCUACACCCAAACCAGGACAAAAUGUAAGGCAAUCAUGAAAUCGCACUGAGAAUUUCAAGGUACAUUCCAAAGGAGAAUUUCAAUUUACCUCUUUAAAUGAAAAGGAGCAUCACUGACAGAAUGCCGGCUUGAUUUCAACAUGGAAGACUUAUGCACAUGUCCCAACGGAGAACAACUGCCUUAUGUUAACUGGGGUUCUUCCAGCACUUGAGCAAGGAAAGGAAGGGAAGAUGAAACUAUGUUCACAAUCUUUUCAAUGGAAGCAGCAAAGAAUCCUGUGGCACCUUAUAGACUAACAGACGUUUUGCAGCAUGAGCUUUCGUGGGUGAAUACCCACUUCUUCGGAUGCAAGCAGUGGAAAUUUCCAGGGGCAGAUGAAUUGGAGCUCAGCAAUUUCUCUUUGCAUAGCAUCAGCCACAGUUGAGUCCUGAUAUAGAAAAAAAGAUACUCCCGUUCCUGACCCAGAAGAAAUCUUACAAAGAGAGAUAUUGAAAGCAAUUUACAAACAGAGUGCCAUGGGCAUCAUCAACUUUGAUUUCCAGUUGAGAUUCAAAAGAUUGCAAAGGUUUUUUUCAAUAGUUCUCUUGUAUAACUAAUAGUGAAGGAGUCACUUGAUACCUGCUUUGCACCUCAAAUCCAGGCAGGUAAACCCAAGCUAUUAAGACACUAGCUCCCUAGAACUUGAGAUUUCAUCUUGCUUUUCAUCAUGAAAAAAACACAAGCUUAUUUCCUUUAGCAUUUUGAAAAUCACAUUAAUUAAAACAGCAAUCUUGCUAAAACAGCAAUGCACCUAAGUUAGACUGAUGGUCUCCUCAAAUUUCAACACCAUGUUCACUCUUGUCUUGUAUACAAAUACAUGGAUGUUUCUCAGUACAGUUUCUUCAAGUCACAAGACUGAAAGGAGGAGGAUUGUUACAUCCAGCGUCCCACAAAACGUAUAUAAUCAAUGCACUUUCCCACUGAUGAAGCUGUGCCCACAGCAAUCCAUGGAUUAGUCAGCUACAGACUGGACUAUUCUAAAUCGCUGGAUCAGAGUCUGAAGGUGAAAGCAGCACAGAAACUCAACUAUACAGAAUACAGGAAAAGAUGCCAAGAGCACAUCACAGUGUUGUUUCAUGACCUGUCCCUAUUCACUUAUUCUACCAAUUCAAAAUACUUGUCUUCAGCUGGCAUUUUCAAAAAGUGCUCAGAGUUAGCCUAACUCUGCUCUGGUAGGAAGUCAAUGGCAAAAGACCAAUGCUGAAUACUUUUGAAAAUCCCAACUUUCAUCUUUCAGCCCUCACUGACAUGGGACCUGAUAACAUUAGGUCUCCAUUCACAACCCAUCAAGACACCUGCAUAGUUCCACAAACACCAAAAGUUCAAAAAUCAGGAGUCAGAACCCACAAAAAUUAUGAGGUUGUCUCAUAAAUUGUAAGGAUUUUUUUUAUUUUAUUGUAAUGAUUACUGAGCUGUGUUCUGACUUUAACUUCCCCUGUCUGCCUCUAAUAUGUGUGUCAAUUCACAUUGCCAAUUUACAAUGAGAAAUACAAUUUUGGCCAUCACAGGUAAUUUUAUGUCAUCUCUCAACCCCAAAACAACUUAUUUUGUGACAAAUCCCCAGUCCUCACACUUAUCCCAGUUACAGAUCAACUCCACAAACCCAGUCACACAACAAUUCUGCACACCUCUUGCCUCGCUACCCCAUAUGUGCCCCUUACUCCCAGCACACCUCUGCUCCUCCUGUGUAGGUUCUUCAUCCCAAUCUAGACCUAGUUGGAGGAAAAGCUUCAGGGGGAGAGAGAGAGAGAGGCACACACAUGCACACGCACACACCUGGGAGGAGGGGCAGCUCCACUGGAUCUUCACAAACACCCCCUUGUAGGCCUCGGGAGAGGGCAACUCCAAGAGGGCCACCUUCUCCUCCAUUCCAGGCCUGGUAUAGGAGCAUUAUAGAAGAGGAAAGGGGAGGAUAGAGGAGCAGAGAGAAGACUGACCCAUUUUUCACAAGAAGGGAGGGAGAAGGGACACCUUGAGCUGCUGGGCAAUUUUUGUUCUCUCCUCCCCUUCCUCUCUUGAGUAAAUAGUAUUGGCUGCUCUCUUCCCCUCCUCCAAAACCUUCUUCGCUCCUGAGGAGAAAAGAAAUGUUCUGCAAGUCUCCUACCACAACUGUCAUUGAGUGACUGUACAAACAAACAAACUCCCCAGGAGGUGAGGACAUGGGGGAAGGCAAUCUAUCAAAGGGGGUUUUCUCCAGACAGCCUGAAAAAAAUCACUUGAAGGAUGAGCCUCUCACCUCAUAGGUAAGACUGGCUCCAGCAAGGGCCAAAUUUGUGUUACUUAUGAUACAUAUGUGAGAGUGGGAAACACUGCCUGCAUUCCUCUAGGUCAAUACAGCUAAUGGUGCCAAGGACAAAACUUGCAAGAGCUACAGACAAGGCAUUUUUGGUCAAAGGCUACUGACCAUGGAACUUUAUUCUAGAAGAGAUAAGACUAAGCCAAAGGCUGAAUUUUCAGAACAAAAUACAUGACUUACCUUUGUGCAAAAGGUUUCCUGCAAGAACUGAAGACAAGGAAAAACAGAGGAGAGAAAAAUAAAAGAAAAACACUAAGGAAACCUGCCAAGCAGAGAGCUGAAUGCAGCAUGGACAACCCUGAGAAUCUCACCGUAUUUAGCAUUCAUACUAUGACGAUUGGCACUGUAAAAAUAACUAAGAUAUGAGUAUCAGCACAAUAUCUAAUGCUUUGCAAAGGCAGUAGAUAAUGGCAUUCAUGAUUGGAUACCUAGCUUGAUUUCAAAUAAAUUGCACCCAUUUUGCUCAGUGCCUUAAAAUAUCCUGUUAAGAAGUAAUUUUUUUCUAUCAUAAGCUAUGAAGUUUUUCAAUUAAAAUAAACUAUUUUCUGAGUUGCUAAGCUCUUGCUCAAGCACUUCUGACACUGUGAUAACUCAGUUGCUUUAAGGCAGUUUUCAUUAUUUUUACUUCAGCAUUUAUUACUUUAAAAGGUUGUAACUCUACAGUCAGAAACACUUCCUUGGCUAGUCUAGUGUUCAGUGAGACAGAGCAGUAACUGUUUCUCAUCAUGUCAAUGUUCAUAAUGCUCAGCUACAUAAGAGGUACAGCUCUCUUGAAUCAAAAUUUAAAGUCCAGCUCUGGUUAUUAUUUACCAGUGAACUAAAUUUCUCUUUUUCCAGACUCAGCCCUGGUCUACACAAUGAGUUUAGUCGAAUUUAGCGGUGUUACAUUGAUUUAACCCUGCACCCAUCCACACAACAAAGCCAUUUUUUUCAAC